rnacentral:rRNA from 1 species
AUUGAACGCUGGCGGCAUGCCUUACACAUGCAAGUCGAACGGCAGCACUGGAGCAAUCCUGGUGGCGAGUGGCGAACGGGUGAGUAAUAUAUCGGAACGUGCCCAGUCGUGGGGGAUAACGUAGCGAAAGCUACGCUAAUACCGCAUACGAUCUAUGGAUGAAAGCGGGGGAUCGCAAGACCUCGCGCGAUUGGAGCGGCCGAUAUCAGAUUAGGUAGUUGGGUGAGGUAAAGGCUCACCAAGCCGACGAUCUGUAGCUGGUCUGAGAGGACGACCAGCCACACUGGGACUGAGACACGGCCCAGACUCCUACGGGAGGCAGCAGUGGGGAAUUUUGGACAAUGGACGCAAGUCUGAUCCAGCCAUUCCGCGUGCAGGAUGAAGGCCCUCGGG